CAAGAAAUUUGUGGCUACCAUGUAUCAUUACUUGCAGUUUGCCUAUUAUAAGUUGAACGACCUGAAGAAUGCAGCCCCCUGUGCAGUCAGCUACCUGCUCUUUGAUCAGAAUGACAAGGUCAUGCAGCAGAACCUGGUGUAUUACCAGUACCACAGGGAUGCUUGGGGCCUCUCGGAUGAGCACUUCCAGCCCAGACCAGAAGCAGUGCAGUUCUUUAACGUGACGACACUCCAGAAGGAGCUGUAUGACUCUGCUAAGGAAAAUAGAAUGGAUGAUGAGGGAGAAGUUGUGGAAUAUGUGGAUGAUCUCUUGGAACUGGAGGAGACCAGCUAGCCCACAGCAACCGAACAGACUUCCUCGCGAUGUUCA